CUCCACCUGACCCUCACUCUAGUAGUACCUAACGUCUAGUAGUAAAGUACCAGAUUUAAAUCGAUAUAUAUUUCCAGGAGCAAGUAAAUCGACUACACCCUCACGAGAAUCUAUUAAACCGUUGUAUAACCAAAAAAGGAAUAUCCCUAAAGAUGCGAAAACAAUCAAUAACCGUGUAUCAAAUUUUUCCAACCAAAGCAGUAAAAGUUUCAAGCCUCAGCUAGAAGACAUUAAGAGUUCUUACUUAUUGCUUCAGAAGAAUGUGUUGAAUCGUAGUAUGAAAUGUUCGCAGAAGAGCAACGUGAAAAGUGGGUCAGAGCUGCAUGCUUGUGAGUUCGGAAGAGUCACAGAUUACUGGCUAGACUGCAAUGUUAAUGAGAUAAAGGCUAGGCAGUAGGCCCUCUUUCACGAAAGAAACUCCUGUCCCACCUGUUUCAAGACCUGAACCAAUCACUGAAGAGAAGAGACGUAUGCUACUAUUAGAAGCGAAAAAUAAGUUCAAAACUAAGCAAUUUUUCAAUGAUGAGA